rnacentral:sRNA from 1 species
CAAAAGUACACGAGCAGUGGUGUUUAUAGCUAACGGAUCACAGGCAGUUACAGAUUUCUUUGUUCCUUCUCCACCCUCACUGCUUCAUUUGACUAGC